CCUCCAAUGACCCAGUCACACCCUACCUGUCUGCGAUUACCGCCCAGUUAAUCCCUAUCAGGGAUUUAUGCACUAAUUAAGUGAAGGCUCUCAUAACCAAAGCAGUUCCCCUCUAAACCCUCUUGCAUUGUCUCAUAUGUGAGUUUUGGGGGGAUCUCUCUUAUCUAAACCGUAACAGUGGGAAAGGAAGUCUGAUGAACACCCUAAUGGUGAGAGGUUUCCUUGGUCAGGGAUUGAGCAGCGUAUUCCUGGCUGUUCCAGUUCCAUCCAGCAGAGGGCAGUUUGGGGCUUGGUGGGGAACCUGGCUCAAAACAGAAACUGGCCUUGUGGUCCCCAACUCCUUAUCUAAGCUCCCAGGGAGAGCAGGUGGUGUCACAGGGAAUAGCAGUGGAGCAGAGGGUCCUGAGCCAUGAUUAGCCGCAGCCUGAGUCCCAGGGUCCCUUGAGAGCCCUACCUCCCAGAGCCACCAGACAGAGAGGUGCCGAGAAGAGACACACACCUGAGUACCUGGGCUGUGGCUCAAAACAGGCCACACUCCUGGUGCUUCAGCUUGGUCAAGCCCCAGCAUCUUCAGUUUGAUUUUCUUUAAAAUACCCCAAGGUGGAAGAGGAAAAUUGGGCCAAGUAGAGAGAAAACAAGAUGGACCAUGAGUUAAAAACUGUUGAAGCUGGGUGGUGGGUUCACUGGGGUUUAUUAUACCUUUCUAUUCUUUUAAAUUUUGAUAUCUGUUUGAAAAUUUCAUCAGUGAAAGAUUUUUUAAUGUUCUGAUGCUGAAACUGGAUCUAAAAACUAGUUUGUUUGUUUGUUUGUUUGUUUUGUUGUUUCUUCUGAGUAGGAGUUUCUAGAGGAAAUGAGGAAAAUCCAGGGAGGCUUUUUGUCACCACCUGCCACACCUGGAUCAAUGAAGAUGAAGGCUACACUCUCCCCUGGUCUGCCCAGGGUCAGGGAGGUACAACUGAAGGUGCAGAAGGACUUAUCCCAGCCACUUGCUUGUGCUAUGGCUCCCUGACUCUACUCAGUUGUCCACAGACAGGACAACACCACCAGCAAACUGGCUCAUAAAAUCGCAAUAAAAUGGACCAGGAUCUUCAGAACAGACUAGAGGGGAAGGAGUAGAUGAGGGGAGGAAGACCAGUUGGGGUUUUGCAAGAGAAAAAAAAAUGUGAGGGGUCAAAAUCAGGCAAUUUGGAAGACACAGAUUUGGAAACAAGCCUUGGGACAAUUACUAGGGCUUCCAUUUCAUGGAAUGUGAGAACUGAAUGGGCAGGAAGCCUUGGAGACUGCUCGAGAAAUCCUGGAUCCGCAGUGAAUCCCUGGACUGAGGUGAGCGUAAUGGAGAGGAAAAGCAAGUGUUUUUCUAAGACAAAUUUAAUUUCAAGACAACAAUAAUCCAACAUGCACUAUUCAAGGAGCCCCAGAAAGAGAUGAGAACCAGAGAGGAGGAAGGGGAAGUCACAGGAGUGCUGGACCAGUGUAGGGGAGAGCGCCAUCACCCUGGGAGAGAGGAGGGUAUGGAAGGGAUCUCAGGGAAGCCAGCUGUCACAGGGCAGGAGGGGAGACCAUCACAGAGAAGAUGGAGGUAGGGAAUAAAAGGAGCUGGUCAUGUGGAAGGAGAACCAGAAAUAACAAUGGACCGAGUGUGGUGGCAUAUGCCUGUAUUCCCAGUGGCUCAGGAGGCUGAGGCAGGAGGCUUGCAAGUUCAAAUCAACUUCAGCAACUUAGUGAGACCCUGACUCUAAAUAAAAUAUUAAAAAAAGAGCUAGGGAUGUGGCUAGCAUCCCUGGGUUCAAUCCCCAGUACGAAAAAAAAAAAAAGACCAUGGAAACAAUAAUAGAAGAGAGAAUUGCAAGAAGUGUAUCCAAUGAUGUCCU
rnacentral:lncRNA from 1 species